rnacentral:lncRNA from 1 species
UUUCAUUUUUGCAUCUUCCCCAGAUCACUGCUGGUCAACAGGUCAACAAAAGAGGCAGUGGAGGCUGAGGAGGUCGCCAUCCACAACCGACAACGACAACGCGACGCCGCUGCCGCCUCAAGAGCCACCGCUGCCUAUCCGUACUCACGCCACCGUUCCUCCUGUGCCGAAAGUGCCAAAUUCAGAGUUUGCAGAUACAAAUUCAGAGUUUGCGUUAUGUCUUCAGAACCACUGAACAAGAAAAUAAGAUCAAAGCAAUAG